GAUCAUGGCUCAGGACGAACGCUGGCGGCGUGCCUAACACAUGCAAGUCGAACGGAAGCAGAGAUUUCGGUUUCUGCUUUAGUGGCGAACGGGGUGAGUAACGCGUGAGAAACCUGCCUCUCAGUGGGGGGACAACAGUUGGAAACGACUGCUAAUACCGCAUAACACUUUAGUACCGCAUGGUACAGAAGUCAAAGCUUAAUGUGCUGAGAGAUGGUCUCGCGUCUGAUUAGCUAGAUGGUGGGGUAACGGCUCACCAAGUCGACGAUCAGUAGCCGGACUGAGAGGUUGAACGGCCACAUUGGGACUGAGACACGGCCCAGACUCCUACGGGAGGCAGCAGUGGGGAAUAUUGCACAAUGGGCGCAAGCCUGAUGCAGCAACGCCGCGUGAGGGAUGACGGUCUUCGGAUUGUAAACCUCUGUCCUUGGUGACGAAACAAAUGACGGUAGCCAUGGAGGAAGCCACGGCUAACUACGUG
rnacentral:rRNA from 1 species